CCCGAACAGAACCUGAGGUCCAGGUAAAUCUUCACCUGAGGCUCUGAAGCGGAAGCUGCUGGACGCGCGCAUGGGCGUGUUCGCUGCACGGCGGUGUCGUGAGCGCGCCUGGCGGUGCUGAUGCUGCGGGAUGAAGAGGAGGAGGAUGAAGGGCGAGGCUGUCGAUCGGACCAGCUGAGACUUCACUCCGGACCAGGCCGAACCGAACCGAACCGAACCGGGACCACGGAAAACGAGGCGGACCUGCCGCAGACCAGAGCSGAGCGGAAGUCGAGCUGUAGCGCUCUGCAGGAACUGGACUCUGAGGUUUUGGGCUCAGAUUUCAGAGCAGAGACGAAGCGCAACAAGGAGCAGCUUUAACCCGGUUCUGGUCCAGACCCACCUGGGUUUAUGUUCCUGUCAUUCGGUUCGGAUUCGGUUCGGAUUUGGACCGGAUGUCAGCGAGCAGAGAACAGCUGAUGCCGGGAAACACGCAGGUAUUUUUCUGUCAGGCUGCAGCAGCUGGAAGCUU